UUGCUCCAUAUUUAUAUUUGUAGAUUUGUUUAUAUAUAUCCUAUCUAGCUAGUUUAGUUUGCAAGACUUAAUUAAAAGCUGAAAAUAUGGAGGAAAUAACUUCGUUGUCAAAUACCUGUGCCAUGGCGCCCCCAAAUUAUGGCGACUUGAUCACCGUUCUCAGCAUCGACGGCGGAGGAGUUAGGGGCAUCAUCCCUGCUACUAUUCUUGCUUUCCUAGAAUCACAACUUCAGGAGUUGGAUGGUUAUCAGGCGAGACUUGCGGAUUAUUUUGACGUGAUCGCGGGAACAAGUACUGGUGGUCUGAUAACAGCUAUGUUGGCUGCUCCGAAUGUGAAUGGGCGUCCCUGCUUUGCUGCCAGAGAUAUCAAAUCCUUCUAUAUAGAACACUCCCCAAAAAUCUUCCCCCAAAAAGGGACCCAAGUACGACGGAAAAUAUCUUCAUAAACUUGUGAGAGAGAAGCUUGGGGAAACUCGCUUGCAUGAUACCCUUACCAAUAUUGUCAUUCCCACGUUCGAUAUUAAGUGGCUCCAGCCGACAAUUUUCUCAUCCUACGAGGUAGAUGGGCCAGUCCGAGUCCAUGAGCACGGCCCAAACGAAAAGGGUCUUUUACAGUGAAAUAAACUUUAAAAUUGAGAUUUUUUUUUUAUUAGGCCCAAAGUUAUGAAUGGGGCACGUAAGAUAAAUUUUUGUAAUGAUGAUGUUUUAUUUAAUAUAUCUUCUCCUUUUGUUAUGUUACCAGCAGACAAAGUAGUGAUCAAUUAAUAUAUCAGAAGACGUAGUAUUGAAUAUUGUAGUGAAAAGUUAGUAAAACAAUGAGGACUGCUAAAAUCAAAACUAAUUAACACUUUUUUUUUAUCCUAAUUAACGAUAAAGAUAACAAUAUUAUUAGUUUACUUAAUAGAAUAAUAUUGGUAAAUUUGUAAUAGUAAUAAACAAGUUUGGUGAGUUGCAUUAACGAUGAAUUUUUUUUUGUUUUUUUAUCCUAAUUAAUUACCUAAUUCAUAUUAAUAUUAUGCUUUAAACAUGGUUUUAUGCCUAUUUGGUGAGAAGCAUAUAUACUUUAAGCAAUCAAUUAAAAAAGCUAACAAAGUUACUUACUAUUAAAAUCUCGUAAGUAUAGAUAGUAGGCUCGAAUCUACACGAUAUGAUUAAGUAAGUGUAAUUAUGUCAUAUUUUGUAAUCCUUCAUUUUAAUUGUGAAGAUGAAUAUUUUUACUAAUUUACUCUUUAAUGUACAAUUAAUGAAAUUUCAAUAAUAAUGAUACGCAUGGUAUAUAAUGAAGAGAAAGAAAAGAAACGAUUACAGUCAAUUUGUUAUCUAAUUUUAUCAAUUAGAGUGAAGCGUCACUAAAAAAGGAACGUAUAUUUAGGAUUGGUCAUUUGAUUAUCAUUAAUCUACGUUUCUAAAACAUUACAAAUAUGAUUGAACUGCCAUAAUCAAUAAUUUUUUACCAUUGAAACAAAUAUACUAUUUAGCUACAAUUUGAAUUCACUUACAUUAAUGCAAUUGUUAUACUAAUUCAGCCACCUAAACCAUUACAAAACACUUUAAUUGUUAAGUAGGACAGAAAGCCUACGAAAAUAGACACUUAAUCAAUUUGCACUAUCAUUCUGUCAUAAAGUUCGAUGGUCAUCUAGAUUCGUCGAAUUUAGCCGAAUGCCAAGCUCUCUUACUUGGUGAGGGUUGUUGACUGUGAGGAAGCGGUAGACCGACCAGCUGAGGGCAUGUUCUUCGAUUGUGGUCUGCAGAAUAACAGUUCGAACACUUCCUUUUAGUUUUAACGGCUCCAUCUGACAUAUCUAUCGUAACAUUGUCCCUAUUGUUUCUUGCAUAGGCGGAUCCUUUAGUUCUACAAGGUGUUGGGUCCCUGGUAAUGUUUUCAUUUUCU